UACGUAGGGUCCGAGCGUUGUCCGGAGUUACUGGGCGUAAAGCGCGCGCAGGCGGCGGUGCUGGCCCGGCGUGAAAGCCCCCGGCUCAACCGGGGAGAGUCGUCGGGGACCGCACCGCUUGAGGGCGGUAGGGGCUGGUGGAAUUCCGGGUGUAGCGGUGGAGUGCGUAGAGAUCCGGAAGAACACCGGUGGCGAAGGCGGCCUGCUGGGCAGUUGCUGACACUGAGGCGCGACAGCGUGGGGAGCAAACAGG
rnacentral:rRNA from 1 species